AACGCACAUUGCGCCCUCCGGUAUUCCGGAGGGCAUGCCUGUUCGAGCGUCAUUACAACCCUCAAGCCCCCGGCUUGGUAUUGGGCAUCGCCGGUCACGGCGUGCCUUAAAAUCAGUGGCGGUGCCAUCUGGCUCUAAGCGUAGUAACACUCUCGCUCUGGGUGCCCGGUGGUCGCUGGCCAGCAACCCCAUCUUUUUAAGGUUGACCUCGGAUCAGGUAGGGAUACCCGCUGAACUUAA
rnacentral:misc_RNA from 1 species